AUUGAACGCUGGCGGAAUGCUUUACACAUGCAAGUCGAACGGCAGCACGGACUUCGGUCUGGUGGCGAGUGGCGAACGGGUGAGUAAUAUAUCGGAACGUAUCCAAUAAUGGGGGAUAACUAAUCGAAAGCUUGGCUAAUACCGCAUACGUCCUACGGGAGAAAGCUAGGGACCUUCGGGCCUGGCGUUAAUGGAGCGGCCGAUAUCGGAUUAGCUAGUUGGUGAGGUAAAGGCUCACCAAGGCGACGAUCCGUAGCUGGUCUGAGAGGACGACCAGCCACACUGGAACUGAGACACGGUCCAGACUCCUACGGGAGGCAGCAGUGGGGAAUUUUGGACAAUGGGCGAAAGCCUGAUCCAGCCAUUCCGCGUGAGUGAAGAAGGCCCUCGGGUUGUAAAGCUCUUUCGCAAGAGAAGAAAACUUACCCUCUAACAUAGGGUGAGGUUGACGGUAUCUUGAUAAGAAGCACCGGCUAACUACGUGCCAGCCGCCGCAGUAA
rnacentral:rRNA from 1 species